rnacentral:rRNA from 1 species
GACACGCUGGCGGCGUGCCUAACACAUGCAAGUCGUACGGAGUUCACUUGGAAGCUUGCUUCCGAGUGAACUUAGUGGCGGACGGGUGAGUAACGCGUGAGCAACCUGCCUCACAGAGGGGGAUAACACACGGAAACGUGUGCUAAUACCGCAUAAUCCGAUGAAGCGGCAUCGCUUUAUCGGCAAAGGAGCAAUCCGCUGUGAGAUGGGCUCGCGUCCGAUUAGAUAGUUGGUGAGGUAACGGCUCACCAAGUCUACGAUCGGUAGCCGGACUGAGAGGUUGGACGGCCACAUUGGGACUGAGACACGGCCCAAACUCCUACGGGAGGCAGCAGUGAGGGAUAUUGCACAAUGGGCGAAAGCCUGAUGCAGCGACGCCGCGUGAGGGAUGACGGUCUUCGGAUUGUAAACCUCUGUCCUUGGUGAAGAAGAAAGUGACGGUAGCCAAGGAGGAAGCCACGGCUAACUACGUG